rnacentral:rRNA from 1 species
UACGUAGGGUCCGAGCGUUGUCCGGAAUUAUUGGGCGUAAAGGGCUCGUAGGCGGUUUGUCGCGUCGGGAGUGAAAACACGGGGCUUAACCCCGUGCCUGCUUCCGAUACGGGCAGACUAGAGGUAUGCAGGGGAGAACGGAAUUCCUGGUGUAGCGGUGAAAUGCGCAGAUAUCAGGAGGAACACCUGUGGUGUAGACAGCUUACUGGACCAUUUCUGACGCUGAGACACGAAAGCGUGGGGAGCAAACAGG